rnacentral:rRNA from 1 species
UACGUAGGGGGCAAGCGUUGUCCGGAAUCAUUGGGCGUAAAGCGCGCGUAGGCGGCCCGGUAAGUCCGUUGUAAAAGUCCAGGGCUCAACCCUGGAAAGCCGGUGGAUACUGUCGGGCUAGAGUCCGGAAGAGGCGAGUGGAAUUCCUGGUGUAGCGGUGGAAUGCGCAGAUAUCAGGAGGAACACCGAUGGCGAAGGCAGCUCGCUGGGACGGUACUGACGCUGAGGUGCGAAAGCGUGGGGAGCAAACAGG